UACGUAGGCAGCGAGCGUUGUUCGGAGUUACUGGGCGUAAAGGGUGCGUAGGCGGUUGUUUAAGUUUGGUGUGAAAUCUCCCGGCCCAACUGGGAGGGUGCGCCGAAUACUGAAUGACUAGAGUGCGGGAGAGGAGAGUGGAAUUCCUGGUGUAGCGGUGAAAUGCGUAGAUAUCAGGAGGAACACCGGUGGUGUAGACGGCUCUCUGGACCGUAACUGACGCUGAGGCACGAAAGCGUGGGUAGCAAACAGG
rnacentral:rRNA from 1 species